rnacentral:rRNA from 1 species
UUUAUUAGAAGAGACGCAUUUAUUAGAUAAAAAGCCAGUUCAUGCUUUUAYAGUAUGAAAAUUGGUGAUUUAUAAUAACUUAGCAAAUCGCAAAGUGAAAACAGGCGAUAAAUCAUUCAAGUUUCUGACCUAUCAGCUUUCGACGGUAUGGUAUUGGCUUACCGUGGCAGUGACGGUUAACGGGGGAUUAGGGUUCGAUUCCGGAGAGGGAGCCUGAGAAACGGCUACCACAUCUAAGGAAGGCAGCAGGCGCGCAAAUUACCCAAUUCUAACAGUUUGAGAGAGGUAGUAACAAGAAAUAACAAUACAAGGCAGUUAAAAUGCUUUGUAAUUGGAAUGAUAGAAAUUUAAACCCUUUUUAAAGUAUCAAUUGGAGGGCAAGUCUGGUGCCAGCAGCCGCGGUAAUUCCAGCUCCAAUAGCGUAUAUUAAAAUUGUUGCAGUUAAAAAGCUCGUAGUUGAAGUUCUGCUGAAAGUAACCGGUCUGCUUUUAAUAAAAGUGGUAUCUUGGUYUGUAUUUAGCAAUGAUGUCCUUUGAAGUGUUUUUUACUUUAUUGUAAUAAAGCAUAUUCAGGACUUUUACUUUGAGAAAAUUAGAGUGUUUCUAGCAGGCUAACGCUUUGAAUA